UUGUUUUCUCGUUUGCGUGUUUUGCUCCCUUUUGAGAGGGUUUUGUUGUUUUUUCCUUUUCUUGAGCUCUCUUUUCUGAGGCUCAACCCCUUGUUUGCGCCUGUGCUUUCAAGGUUUUUUCAGAUCUUUUUUUUUUAAUAAAAUUUCCAUUUCAGCAGUAGCUUGUUUGUUGGAUGCCCGAACCCAUGAUGCUUCUACUCUUGAU
rnacentral:lncRNA from 1 species